rnacentral:rRNA from 1 species
GAUGAACGCUGGCGGCGUGCCUAAUACGUGCAAGUCGAGCGAACAGACGAGGAGCUUGCUCCUCUGACGUUAGCGGCGGACGGGUGAGUAACACGUGGAUAACCUACCUAUAAGACUGGGAUAACUUCGGGAAACCGGAGCUAAUACCGGAUAAUAUAUUGAACCGCAUGGUUCAAUAGUGAAAGACGGUUUUGCUGUCACUUAUAGAUGGAUCCGCGCCGCAUUAGCUAGUUGGUAAGGUAACGGCUUACCAAGGCGACGAUGCGUAGCCGACCUGAGAGGGUGGCCGGCCACACUGAAACUGAGACACGGCCCAGACUCCUACGGGGGGCAGCCGUAGGGAAUUUUCCGCAAGGGGCGAAAGCCUGACGGAGCAACGCCGCGGGAGGGAGGAAGGUCUUCGGAUCGUAAAACUCUGUUAUUGGGGAAAAACAAAUGUUUAAGUAACUAUGCACGUCUUGAGGGUACCUAUAAGAAAGCCACGGCUAACCACGU